rnacentral:rRNA from 1 species
AGCGAACGCUGGCGGCAGGCCUAACACAUGCAAGUCGAACGAACCUUUCGGGGUUAGUGGCGGACGGGUGAGUAACACGUGAGCAAUCUGCCCCUGACUCUGGGAUAAGCGCUGGAAACGGCGUCUAAUACUGGAUACGAGCUGCGAAGGCAUCUUCAGCAGCUGGAAAGAACUUCGGUCAGGGAUGAGCUCGCGGCCUAUCAGCUUGUUGGUGAGGUAACGGCUCACCAAGGCGUCGACGGGUAGCCGGCCUGAGAGGGUGACCGGCCACACUGGGACUGAGACACGGCCCAGACUCCUACGGGAGGCAGCAGUGGGGAAUAUUGCACAAUGGGCGAAAGCCUGAUGCAGCAACGCCGCGUGAGGGACGACGGCCUUCGGGUUGUAAACCUCUUUUAGCAGGGAAGAAGCGAAAGUGACGGUACCUGCAGAAAAAGCGCCGGCUAACUACGUG